AGGUGAAUGAUCCCAAGCUUGAAGAAUGGGGCAUGCGAGCCAGAGGGAGAUCACAGCGUCCCGGCAGCAGGAAGGAUGUGGGGCAACUGGCUAAGGAAAAUGUGACACAUAAUGAAGGUGCAUUCAGAGGCAAUGUACUGCAGCAGCUCUUCUAUACCUGGGAUCUCCAGAUUUCUUAAGGACCGUAGAUGAAUAAGGCCUUGCGUUUUUAGUCCCCUUGCUUUACAGAUGGGAAAAUGGGGUACCAUGAGGGCUGAUACAUACAAUCUGCAUUAGAGCUGGUCGGAAAAUGAAGGGCACCAGUGUAUUUUUUUUGAGAUAAAAGCAAGGACAAGACUCCAGGGAGUUGGAGGUUUAAGAAAAUCCCUGGCUACCAUGAGGCUUGUGACAGAAUCGCCGCCGCUGACUACACUGAUAAGCCUGAAGUUAUGACCUGAAGAUGCCUUAAAGGUUCAAAAACCAGAAGGUGAAUAAAAAGAAUCCCAACUGCGUUAAUAAAU